ACCCUAUACAUAUACAAGACCUAAAAUAACCUAGACCCCUAGACAUCAUCAGCCGUUUUUUAAAAGGAAAAAGAACUAAAAAAUGAAAAAAGCUCUUCUUCUUCAUGAAGAUUGAACAAAAUGCAGAACCCUAGUCUUCUUCUUCAUGGCAACAACGGAAACCUGAAGAUCAGGCCUGAACCAAAAACGACCCAUCCCCACCAUCUUCUUCAGUGAGCAAAAACGCCUAAGUCUAGGAAUCAGACGCAAUAACACAAAAAAUCAGGUCCCCCACAUUGAUCUUCUUCUGCUCGAAUAUAAACAACCAUUUUAAACUUUCCUAUACAAAAAAGAAUAGCCAUAUUCGAUGAGUUGUUCCAUCGGUUUUUUUAUCAAAAAAAGCUUCUUCUUCUUGCUGGAAAACGCAGCAACAUAACCAUGAAAUACAAUCUAGAAAACCCAUCUAAACAAGUAGAGUUCGAGUCAGGAUAGUCGAGCCGAGCAACAAAACUCUGUCGAAAUCCGGUGGAGCUUCUCGUGGAGGUUCUGUUCGAGGUCUCUGAUCGAUGGCUCGAUUUUGGACUUUUGGUUCGAAAUUUUUCUUUUAGUUCAUUUCAUUGUCAAUCCCGUCAGUUUGAGGUUAAUUUCCUCCCCUUUCUUUUUUUGUGUUCUUACGUUUUUGUAUCUAGUCACACCAGUUGGUUUUGAUGGAUUUAAUGCAACUUUACAUCUUGGCCUUACAUGAUUAAUAUGUGAUUGGACCUAGUAUUUUCCUGAAGGAAGACAUAUAGUUAGUAAUUCUUAUUGUAGGAUUUGCUAAGUAAAAGAUGUUGGGGAAGCAGUGGUUUGGGGCUAGAAAAUGAAAUCUAAGUUUCAGAUUAUUAUUUUUCGUAAUAGGAUUUUCUUUAGUUGAGCUAUAGUUUAAAUUGAUAUUUUUAUCUCAAUGUUAGGAGCAUGUUAGGCCGACCAUACCUGGGUAGGCGAACCUUUAGGCAUGUAAUUAAAUCAUCACAACAACGGGUAUGCUUCCCAUGGCGUGGUUGUGAUACUUAAUUUCAAAUUAGUUGUAAAAAUGAAUAUCCGUAGUUCACUUAGUUGAAUGCCUUUACUUUAAUAAAAUCUAGGUGCGCCAUACGCAAACAAAAUCCAUAAUCUAUGUCCCUCAUAUUAAUUAUCUUAACUAGUGUAAAAAAUGCCUUGAACUUUCGGAGUUUGAUUUAGGCGCGUUAAUUAAAUAAUUGUCAUGGCUACGGGUACGACUCUCGUGACAUAGUUGUGAUGCUUAAUUUCUAAAAUCCUAGGGUACAUUUAUGUGACCCAACAACAAUUUAAUUUUGUUAAUAAAACAAACAUGUUGUAGAUCGUGGGUGCGGUUCCCGUGACAUGAUUCGCUAUGUAUAGUCAAAUAAUUAGUUGAUGUGACGACCUGUCCAGUCGUCUUAAGAAUUAACGCCCUGAUCCCCUAUUAACUACUUUCCCCAAGUUUAUUUAUGUUAUUUCUAUUUGUCGGGAUGUCCAGUUUUGAGUUUCGGAGAGUUUUGGGACACUUAGUCCCUAAAUGAGAGCUAAAGUGUUGGAAAGUUGAACGUAGUUGGAACAGUGUGAAGACGGCCUCGGAAUUGAAAUACAAUGGUUUUGUUAGCUCCGUUGGGUGAUUUCGGGGUUAGGAGCUUGUUUGAAGUGUGUCUUGGAGGUCCGUAGCUAAUUUAGGCUUGAAAUGCCGGAAGUUGAGUUUUUGAAGUUUGUGGUUCGAUAGUGAGAUUCUAAUUCAAGGAUCGGAAUGGAAUUACGAGAGUUGUAGUAGUUCCGUCAUGUCAUUUGGGAUAUGUAUACAAAAUUUCAGUUCAUUCGGACGAGGUUUGGUAGACUUUUUGAUCGAAAGUGUGUUUUACAGUUUUUGGAAAUUUUAAGCUUGAAUCCGAUGAAAAAUAAGUGUUUUGAUGUCGUUUUGAGCAUUUCGAAGGUUGGAACAAAUUUGGAUGUGGUUUUAGGAUUGGUUGGCAGGUUGGGUUGAGGUCCCGGGGGCCUCGGGUGUGUUUCGGAUGCUCAACGGGUCAUUUUUGAAACUUAGGAAAUUGCAGAAAAAAUUGCAACAGUCAGUUCUGGUUUCCUUCUUCGCGUUCACGAGUGGGUUCUCGUGUUCUCGAAGUGGAGCUUGGAUUAGGGGAAAAUUUGGCCUUCGCAUUCGCGAUAGGGCCUUCGCGUUCGCAAAGAACUGGAUGGUUGUGCUAUGCAUUCGCGAUUGGGCUUAGCGUUCGUUGAAGAGGAAUUGGCCCAAAGGAGUUUUGUGUAUCGCAUUCGCGUGAUGCCCGUCGCGUUUGCGAAGGUUCGUCUGUGCAAGGCAUCACGUUCGCGAAGUAAAGGACGCGUUCGCGAAUAAGGAAAAAUGGUCAAAGUUAUUUUGUGCUUCGCGAAUGCGAGGCUUUGACCGCGUUCGCGAAGAAGGAAUUUUCUGGGCAGAUAUAAGAUUUCAAAAUCGAUGGUUUGGCCAUAUUUAUCAAAACUUAAGCAUGGGAGCUCGGAUUUUGAGCGAAAUUUUGAGGGAUUUUCAGAGGUAUCGAUUGGGUAACGAUUCUUAUCUCAUUUUUGCUUGUAACCCAUUAAUCUAAACAUGAAUUCAUCCUUUAAUUUCGGAAUUUGUAUGAAAAUUGGGGAAAAAAGUUCUUAGGCCAAGAAAUUGAGUUUUGAUUGGGGAUUUGACAUCGGAUUUAAAUAAUUUUUGUAUGAUUAGACUCGUGAGAGUGUGAGUAUUAUGAAACUAUAAAUUUUAUCCAAUUCCGAGACGCUGGUCCGAGGGGCGUUUUGGUCCUUUUACAUAAUUUCGCAUAUUAGCUUAGAAUUUAAUUAUAGAAUCAGUUACUUGAAGUGUUAUUUACAUUAUUCAAUUGAAUUGAAUAGAUUUGGGCCAUUUGGAGUCGAGUACUCGUGGCAAAGAUGUGGUGUUGGGUUGAUUUUGAGCCGGUUCGAGGUAAAUGGCUUGUCUAACCUUGUGUGGGGGACCUUCCCCAUAGGAUUGGUAUAUUUGGUAAUUUAAAUGCCUUGUACGUGAGGUGACGAGUGAGUACUUGUGCUAAUUGUUGGAAACCCGAUUUUCUUUAAGUACUUACUAGUAUGUUUUCUUUCCUGUUUCUAUUACUUGCAUUAUUAAGCAUGUUGUUAGCUUAGGAAAGCAUGUCUAAGUGACUUAAUUGCUUCAUUUGAUUUAACCUGCCUUACUUGAAUUAUGUGCAGCAUGUUAGGCUAGAAUCACUUAUUGCCUUAAUAUGAAUUUUGCUAUUUAUGUUUAUCUUCCUACUGCUGCUGUGUAUUUAUUUUGGGACUACGGAUGUGGAAUUCCGGUAGCUCCACCUUGUCUAUUUACUUUGGGACUACGCGUUAGAUUCCCGGUAGAUCCCCCUGCACAUUUACUUUGGGACUAUGGGUUAGAUUCCCGGUAGAUCCCCCUGCAUAGUUAUAUAGAACUACGGGAAUGCACCCGGUAGAUUCCCCCAGUACUGGGUAUUUACAUUUGGGAUUACAGAUUGUGAUUCCGGUAGAUCCCCAUGCAUCGAUAGUUGGACUACGGGACAGGAUCCCGGGAGAUCCUUCGGACAUAUAUAUGAUGGACUACGGGACGGUAUCCCGGGAGAUCUACUGGACAGUUGUAAUUGGGACUACAGGACGGUAUCCUAGAAGGUGCCCCGAUUGUUAUCUCUGUAUCGAGCUGUAUUUUUUUCUGUGGCUUGUUUUGUCUCUGUUCUAUUUGUUGUUCUGUCAAUUCUAUGUUAUUUCUUACUGUUGCACUUAUUUAUACUGUUUUAUUCCACAUUGUUAACCCUUAUAUUGUAUUUAACCUCAGUAGGGCCAUGACCUUCCUCGUCACUACCCAACCAAGGUUAGGCUUGGUACUUACUAAGUACAAAUGUCGUGUACUCAUGCCUCUUCUGCGCAUGUUUUUCAUGUGCAGAUCCAGGUACUUCUACUCAGGCCUACCAUCCUUGAGGUAAGUGACUACUUAGAUACUUUGAGGUACAUCUUUCGCGUCCGCAGAUCGAGGAGUCCCUUUGUAUUCCUGCCCUUUUUUUGUAUUUAGCCCUUAUGUACUUUCUGUUCUUAUUAGACAGAUUCCGGAGUUAGAGCUAUGUAGUAUUUCCUUUUCUUAGCUUGUGAUUCGUGGGUUUCCGGGUCUUGGAUUUAGAUAUUGGUUUUGAGAUCUAUAUAAAUAUAGUGUAUGCUGAGCGGCACAUUUAACAUUGUUAUUGCCUUAUUUCUGUUUUUAAACUGUUUAACUUCCGCAAGUUUUGGUUAUCUUCCGCAACUUUAGGCUUACCUAGUCGUAUAGACUAGGUUCCAUCACGAUGGUUCAUGGAAGGCGAACCGGGGUCGUGACAAGUUGGUAUUCAAGCUCUAGGUUCAUAGGAGUCAUAGAUCAUAAGCCGGUUAAUUAGAGUCUCGCUGAUCAGUACGGAGACGUCUGUACUUAUCUACGAGAGUCUAUAUAACUGUUAGGAAAAUUUCUACUUCAUUUAAUUUCCUUGUCAUGCGAUAUUUCGACAUCACAAUUCUAAACUUCUGUUUUCUAUUCUCUCACAGAUGGUGAGGACACGUGCUACUCGAGAUGAUCAAGCACCCGUGCCCCCUACUGCAGCCGUCAGAGGCCGGGACCGGGGUAGAGGCUGAGGACGCGCACGUGGUGCAGUCAGAGCACAUGCACGAGCUACCACCAAGGUAGCACCUGCAGUUCCAGCCGAAGUCCAGGCACCUGACAUGCCUACUGCUACUACUACUCCAGCUCUUCAAGAGACUCUGGCAGAGUUCAUGAGCAUGUACACCACUUUCGCUCAGGUAGGGUUGGUUCCCCUUGCUGCAGCUAAGUCCUAGGAUGGGGGAGGAGCAUAGACUCUCGUCGCUUGCACUCCUGAGCAGCGAGUGCAUGGUGAGAAGGUCCCUGAGAUUAUUCAUGUACCACCUGCAAUGCCAGUUCAUCCCGAGGACGGGGCAGCGGCUUCUGAGAUGAGCAGCUUAGGCUUGAGAGGUUCAAGAAGUACAAGCCUCCUGUAUUCAGUGGUCUAGCAUCGGAGGAUGCUCUAGGAUUUCUUGAUGAGUGUUACCGCAUUCGCUGCACCAUGGGUAUCUCAGGAUCGAGUGGGGUUUUUUUCACUACCUUCUAGCUUCGAGGAGCCGCCUAUGAGUAGUGGCGCACCUAUGAGUUAGACAGUCUGGAUGAGGUUGCUUCACUAACUUAGACUCAAUUUUUAGAUCUGUUCCUGAGAGAGUAUGUUCCUUAGAGCCUCAGGGAUACAUAGCGCGCAGAGUUUGAGCAUUUGCGCCAGGGUACUAUGAAUGUAUCAGAGUAUGUUGUUUGUUACACUAGUUUGGCUAGGCAUAUGCCAGCCUUGGUUGCUACUGUCCGCGAGAGGGUUCGCCGGUUUAUUGAGAGCCUUAUUCCCAGCAUCAGAUCUAGCAUGGCUCGUGAGUUGGAGAUGGAUAUUUCUUACCAGUAGGUGGUUAGCAUGCUAGGAAGAAGGAGGAGAGGGAGGCCAAGAGGUCUCGAGAGUCUGGCCAUUAUUCUGGUGCCCGUACCCCAGCUGCAGGUCGUCAUGGUAGGGAUUCUAUGAGUCGCCUUGUUCAUUCAGCUCUUCCAGCAGCCAGUGGUAUUCCAGCUCCUCCUAGGCCUUAGGAGCCUUAUUAUGCACCUCCGGUUUCUAGCACGCCUCCGGUGCGGGGUAUUUUCAAAGGUCAGUCCAGCAGACCUGGACCUAGCUAGUCAUAGCCACCACAUCCUCCCAGAGCUUGUUUUGAGUGUGGCGACACAUGCCAUAUGGUGAGGGAUUGCCCCAGAAAUGGGAGCGGUGCACCUCCACAGACUUUUAAGUCACAGUGUGCCCCGCAGAGUUCUUAGGCUAUGGUUAUCACUCCAGUUGCUACCCCACCUGCUCAGCUAGCUAGAGUUGGAGGUCACGGAAGUAGAGGUUACCCUAGAGGGGGAGGCCAAGCCAGAUACUAUGCUCUUCCUGCCCGUACCGAGGGUGUUGCCUCCGAUUCUGUCAUCAUAGGUAUGAUAUUGGUUUGCCAAGAGAUGCAUCAGUUCUAUUCGAUCCAGGCUCUACUUACUCUUAUGUGUCUUCUUAUUUUGCUUUGCAUUUGGGUGUACCUUGGGAUUCUUUGAGUUCCCCUAUUUAUGUUUCUACUCCUAUGGGAGAUUCUAUUGUUGUGGACUGCAUUUAUCGGUCGUGUUUGGUUGCUCUUAGUGGUUUUGAGACUAGAGGCGAUCUAUUAUUACUCAGCAUGGUUGAUUUUGAUAUUAUCUUGGGAAUGGACUGGUUGUCACCCCAUUAAUGUAUUCUUGAUUGGCACGCCAAAACUGUGACACUGGCUAUGCCAGGUGUACCGCAUGUUGAGUGGAGGGGUACUUUAGAUCACACUCCCAGUAGAGUUAUUUCUUUUCUUAAAGCUCAUUUUAUGGUUGAGAAGGGGUGUGACGCGUAUUUAGAUUAUGUGAGAGAUGUCAGUAUCGAUACCCCUUCAGUUGAUUUAGUUCCAGUAGUACGAGAUUUUCCCGAUGUGUUUCCAGCUGACCUUCUAUGCAUGCCGCCUGAUAGAGAUAUUGAUUUUGGCAUUGAUCUAUUGUCUGGCACUCAGUCCAUUUCUAUUCCUCCGUAUCGUAUGGCUCCUUCAGAGUUGAAGGAGUUGAAGGAUCAGUUAUAGGAAUUGCUUAAUAAGGGUUUUAUUCGACCCAGUGUUUCACCUUGGGUGCUCCUGUAUUGUUUGUAAGGAAAAAAGAUGGUUCUAUGCAUAUGUGUAUUGAUUAUCGCCAGUUGAACAAUGUUAUAGUGAAGAACCGUUAUCCUUUGCCUCGUAUUGAUGAUCUGUUUGACUAGCUUCAGGGCGCACAGGUGUUUUCAAAGAUUGAUUUUCACUCAGGUUACCAUCAUUUGAAGAUUCGAGAGCCAAAUAUCCUGAAACUGCUUUCAGGACUCGGUAUGGUCAUUACGAGUUCCUUGUUAUGUCAUUUGGGCUGACCAAUGCCCCAGCAGCCUUUAUGCAUUUGAUGCACAGUGUCUUCCGUCUGUAUCUUGACUAAUUCGUCAUUAUCUUUAUUGAUGAUAUUCUGGUAUAUUCCCUGAGUCGGGAAGAUCAUGAGCAGCUGAGGACUGUGCUUCAAACUCUAAGAGAGAAGAAGUUAUAUGCUAAGUUCUUGAAAUGUGAGUUUUGGUUGGAUUCAGUGGCAUUCUUAGGCCAUGUGGUAUUGAGUGAGGGUAUUCAGGUGGAUCAGAAAAUGAUAGAGGCCAUGCAGAGUUGGCCCAGACCAUCCUUGGCUACAGAGAUCCGCAGUUUCCUCGGUUUGGCAUGUUACUACCGUCAUUUUAUGGAGGGGUUUUUGUCGAUUGCAGCCCCCAUGACCAGGUUGACCUAGAAGGGUGCUCUGUUUCAGUGGAUGGAGGAGUGUGAGGCGAAAUUUCAGAACCUCAAGACAUCUUUGACCACAACCCCAAUUUUGAUACUACCUACAGGUUCGGGGUCUUAUACGGUCUAUUGUGAUGCCUCGAGGGUUGUCCUCAUAGCGGUGUUGACGCAGGAUGGUAGGGUGAUUGCCUAUGCAUCCAGAUAGUUGAAGAUACAUGAGAAGAACUAACAUGUUCACGACCUUGAGUUAGCUGCCAUUGUUCAUGCCCUGAAGAUUUGGCUCCAUUACUUAUACAGUGUUCCCUGUGAGAUUUAUACUAACAAUCGGAGCUUGCAGCACUUGUUCAAGCAAAAGGAUCUAAAUUUGCUCCAGAUGAGGUGGUUGGAGUUGCUAAAGGACUAUGAUAUCACUAUAUUGUAUCACCCGGGCAAGGCCAAUGUGGUGGCUGAUACGCUCAAAUUACAAUUUAAUUAAAUAGUGUAAGGUAGUCAGUGUCAAAUAUAAUAACCCAACAAGGUUGGGGUCGAAUCCCACAGGGAAUAGGUGUGAAAAGAUUACUCGAUUAGUGUAUUACUUAACUCAAGUUAAUUCUAUUCGGUUAACUGUAACAAGAGUAUGGUAUGAUAGUAAGUUGAAGAAUUGACUAAUUGUGAUAUUGAGAAANNNNNNNNNNNNNNNNNNNNNNNNNNNNNNNNNNNNNNNNNNNNNNNNNNNNNNNNNNNNNNNNNNNNNNNNNNNNNNNNNNNNNNNNNNNNNNNNNNNNNNNNNNNNNNNNNNNNNNNNNNNNNNNNNNNNNNNNNNNNNNNNNNNNNNNNNNNNNNNNNNNNNNNNNNNNNNNNNNNNNNNNNNNNNNNNNNNNNNNNNNNNNNNNNNNNNNNNNNNNNNNNNNNNNNNNNNNUCAAUAUUAAACACCCAUUAACAUAACACCCAUUUAAGGUCAACAACCUUAGUAUUUAGAGUCAGCUACUCAUAGUAAAAUACACAAAUAAGAGAAUAGUAAAUGCCAUAAAACUUACAAAGUAAAAGAUUCUUGACCCAAAAGCUUCCCAACAGAGAGGAAUAUUAAAGACAAGGUGAAAGAUUCUUGACCCAAAAGCUUCCAAACAAAGAGGAAUAUUACAGCCCUGUGUUGUAGUCCCACCGUCAGACCAUCCCCCCCUACAAAAUCACAAUAAAUUUAUUUAUAGAGGGUCAAAACUCAGAACAGAAAACGGACAAAAAUGCCCUUUCAGGUUAAAUAUGCGACCACAUAUCUGUCGAAUAACAGACAUGCGGUCCGCAUUCUUUUCAUGCCCAUCGCACUUCAGAACCCUAGUUUCCAGGCCAUCGUUGCAUUGUUGAUUUGCGGUCCGCAUUCCAGAUACGCGAUCUCAUUUUGCGUCGCAUUUUCCACCAUCAGCAUUUCUCUUCAUGAGUUUGCGGUCCAUUCUGCAGUCUGCAAACCUGUUAUGCAAUCGCAUUCUGGACCGCACUUCUUGCACUGGACUUUGGCCAACAUUCUGUUUUGGUUUGCGAUUCCUUUGCACAUUAUGCAGCUCGCAUAUAGGAUUUGCGAUCGCAUCUUGGACCGCAUUUCCACAUUUGUUCUACAUUUUGCUCUUUUCUUGUGUUUUGUGGCUUUUUGUUUUCAUUUCCAUGCUCUUGGGUCCUUACACCUCAUUUAGUGCAACACACUAAAAUUACAUAAUUAUAGGAGAUGAUUGCAUUCAAAACAAGUUAAAAUCUAAGCAAUUUGCAUUGAAAUGUGCCGAAAUUCUCCGGCACAUCAACACCCCCAACUUAAACUCUUGCUUGCCCCCAAGCAACUAAAACGACUAUAUCCUAUUCUAGACUCUAUCUAACAGACAUGAAAUAAUAGUGAUCGUGGACGGUGUUAGUUGUCAGUACUACAAGCAUGCAUUUUUCAAUUGUUUACCCUUCCUGAAUCAUCAAUAUUUACAAAGAACUAAUCAACUUGUGAACUGUGAGCCUCAAACAAUGUGACAAAAUGCUACCCUCAGCUGAGUGCACUUGCAUUUUACUCAAAAACUCAUCUUUUGUCCAACCUCACAAUUCAUGUGCCCUCGAUAGAAAGAAAGUUCCAAAAUCACUCUAUUUACACUGACAACAAAAGGGACGAAUUCACAAUUUCACUCACCCUCGGAAAGAGUUUCAAGUGUUACAACAUAUCAUACCAUAGGCUUGCCCUUAUUUUAAUUUAUCGCUUUAUUCUAAGAAGCUCAGUUGGAAAUCCCAUAAGGACUUUUUAAGCUUGUAAUGUAGGUUUAGGGAAGGGUCGGAUAAGCAUUUGGGUACAAGUGACUUACCCUCCUUGAGCACUAAUCACAUUUUUCUUUCUUGUGCUCUUUGCUUCUUUUCAAACCACAAAGCCUUCAUUUGUAUCUACUUUUCCAUCAUUUAGCCACCUCAACUACCUCUUUUAUUCUCUUCAAGGCUCCUUAUGCAUAAACACUUACAACUCAUAUACUCUUUUUUGUUAUAUACUUUGCUUUAGGAGCUUGAGUAGUUUCAUAUUUUGAGGUACACUUUCCUACGGUCAUUGCACAACCUUGCCAAUUUCCGGCUCGACACACACCCUCAACUUCGGCUUUUAGCCUCAUUCUCAGUGAUCAAGGAGGGACGGAUUCAAAAGAGGGAAUUAUUUCACAAAAAGGGAAAGGUGUGUAAUGAGGUAGCCGAAGAAAAGGUUAAAAGCUCAACUAGGGUGACUAGUGAUACUAUCUGUAUAAUGGGUGGCUUGAAAGGCUAACUGUUUCCCAAAAAUCACAAAGACUGCCUAAGUUCAUUUCUCCAACCAAAUGUAAUUAUUAAAAGCAUUGAAAUACCAACCGGACAAGUUCUAGAUGGUAGAAGUAACCACAAGAAUUAUUUACACAAGGAACUCACAAACAUGGCACACGAACUGUUUGGCUUACAUAGUUUGAAGCCCUGAGUCAGCACUCGGCAACUCAAAGCUUUCAUCAUAUAUACAUGUAUAACUCUAGGUAGACAUAGAGUCACAGACCAAGCCUCAAGUUCUCUCUUUUUUAUGGAAGGGUAUAUGCUAUAUACAUACACACAUGCUUGCAACUAAACAAAUACACCGAACCGGUCAACAUGUUUCAUUCUAUUAUCCUGGUUCUACUAUUACACCCUUGGAAAAGAACCUUGCGAAGAAAUACCAAGGGGAUUUUAUUGCUAAUUACUAAACAUGGACAACUAUCUACUUGUUUUUGUUGUUUUGCUUUUUAUAUACACAAGGAUAACAUAACUAAUGUACGGAAAUCACAAAAUAGGCACACGAAUUAAUUACACAACACUAAUAUAUACAGAACAACAAGAUGCACAUGGGUAUAUAAGUCUGUUUGUAGCACAAAAAGCAUCUAAUAUUCACAACCAAAAGUAUAUACAAGGCUACCAUCCACCCCCAACUAAAAGCAUGCACUAUCCCCAAUGCAUAAGAAUGUAGAGCAGAGUUUUAGGGGAUCCCUGAGGUGCACUAAGCGCUAUGGGAGUCGGCCGCCGACUAAGUAAUGGUGGGGUCACCCUCUGAUAUUGAAUCUGGAGCCGAUGAGAUCUCGGCCUGAGGAGUGACCUCCAUUGAUAGAGGAGGGAUCUCUGGCUGGCCCAGCAUUGGAGUUGGGGCAUGUGAGCUGCUAGCCUCGCCCGCUUAUGGCUGAGUGGCCGAUGGAUCUGCAGGGGCGGCCAUAUCUGCUUGCGAGUGUUUGAUCGCCAUCUGAAGCUCUGCUUGCUCCUCUUAUUUAUCUGUAGUAGCAGCAAUCUACUUGCCCUUCUCCUAAGGGCCAUCAUACUCCGAGGACCAAGAAGCCUCCUCAUCCUCCCCCUUGCCUGCCUCCUCACUCUCGGACUCUGAAGAAUGUCUGGAAUCCUCCUCAUCAGGAAUAUCAAUGCGUAUAGGAGGAGCUGGAGGCUGGGAAACCCCAGCAGUCUGAGGUGCAGUGUCUGCCAUCAGAGUAGUGAAAUCAAGACUCAAAUCUUGUGCUGAUAUGUUUGUCCCCUGCUCACCUUCAUUGGGUAGGAGGGAUGAUAGAUCAAACUCCAAAGUCUGCAUCUUGUGGAGCUCGGUCUUCAUAGUGGUAACUUCCUCCCGGAGCCUAGGCAGGUCACUAACCUCACCUCGCUCUAUCUUUUCAACCCUUAACUCAAGUUGUUGCAAGCGAUCCCCAUAAGUUGUUUGUUGUUGUUGGAGUGCGGUAACUGAGGACUGAAUAGGCGUCAAAGCCUGUUUGAUGAGUGUGGGCAAAUUUUUCAGAAACUGGUCUACCUUAUAUUGGCAUGUUGUGCUAUGAGACCAAGCCUCAAGACGGUUGGCAUUGCAGCAGAAAGUUGAGCAGUGGUGAACUGAGAGGCGUUCUGUGAAGUAGAAGUGGACGCAACUGGAACCUGAGGGGUCACAGGAGUCUGAGAGUCUGAAGGCUCUAAAUCGACUAGGCCCUGAGUCUGAACCUCUGGGGGAGCAACAGCAUCACUAAUUCGCGUGAUAUCAAUGUCCCUCAUCUCCUUCCAUGUCCUGUUAGUGUGUGGCAUGGUAGGAACCGUCACAGCUUUGCAGAGGGUUGUGAUCAAACAUGGAAAUGGAAGCGAGGUGGCGUGCUGCUUUGCCCGGAUACCUAUCUCUUUGAAUAUAAGAGCUCCCACGUCAAUCUGAAUACCCGCCAUAAUACAUGCAAUGAGAAGAGCUUUCUCAAAGCCCAUGUUAGUCUCGUUCCUGGAUGGUAUCAGUCGAGAGGUAACAAAGCUGAGCCAAAAUUGACCCUCUCAUAUGAGAUCCUCCUUGUAUAUUUUAUGCACAGGGUUGAUCCAAGCAGGGGUUCCCUUUGCUAUUACCGAAGCAAUCCAACUAAGCUCAUUUUCCCUAUUUGCCUAUUUGGCAGCAUACUCAGUUGCGCCCGAUCUCCAGCCACAAAAGUGCAGCUCAUUAAUUGUCUCACUGUUGCAGAACACACACUUCCCCCAAACCAGUACGGUGUCAACAAAAAUCCUGUUACAUUUGUGGUGCGCAGUCAUGGAGGCUCCAUAUGAUGCAUAGAACUCACGGACAAGAGUCUUAUUAUAUUCAACAGGCGGUUCAGUAAAGCACUCCUAUUUUCUUUCUUGGAUGUUCUCCCAUAUGUGGGGGUACUGCUCUUGUAGCCUAUUCAAACUCAAUUGCUUUUCGGCAAGGAUUUUGGUGAGCCCUUCUCUACACAGUUCCCUGGAUCCAUCAACCCCAAAUCGGAGUUGGAAAUAAUAUUAGUGUUUCCUUCUUGCCUCAGCUUGUAGGUCAACUGAGGGCAAGAUCUCCUCCUCAUUAGAUUAGGAGGGAUGUGGAACAUUUGGGUCCGUUUGUGAUCGUUUUGCUUAGGACGCGUGACGACUAGAGGAUGCCCCUUUCUGGGUGGAGGAUGCAUGUUUCUUGGGAGUCAUAGAUGCAACAAAGUGAAAUGUGAGCAACAUUGUAGGCAAUAAUGAAAAGAAAACAAAAAUAUUCAAGAAAAAGUUGAAACUGCGACAGGUUAUGAGGUCGCAUAACCACUAUGCGGACCGCAACCUUAUCGCAAACUUGACAGUUCACUAUUGGAUCUCAGUCUGCGAUGGGUUAUGCGAUCGCAUAACCACUAUGUGGACCGCAUAACCAUCGCAGACUUGAGUUGUUCACAAAAACCAAAUCAAAUCAAAUCACAAAAAUGCGAUCGCAAAUUCCACCGCAAAGUGGGAAAUGCGAUCGCAAAAUAGCCGCAUAAGGCAUGCUAGUAAACUGGGUACACUGUGUCAUUAUGCAGUGAGUCUGCGGUCCGCAUAUUAAUUAUGCGAUCACAAACUCGCCGCAUUUUAUCAUCUUCCGCAGCCAGUCUAGGGUUAGUUAUGCAGCAGAAAUGCGGACCGCAUUUUGAUUUUGUGAACCGCAAAUGUCAUCGUUCCCAACGAUUAAACCAACCCUCAGCCAUGGUGGACCUAAUUUUCACUACCCAGCACCCCCAAAACACACUCAUUACCCAAGAGUACACUACGAAAUUAUAAAGCACGAAAGAAAAACACGGAUGAAAAGGGAACAUAAAGCAACAAUAGGGGAAACGAAAAUAAGAACAACUGUACGACCAAAGCUUGAAAAAAAAUGGAAUUGGGACAAAGAAGACAUACAAAUGACGUUGUUUAUGAGCACACUUAGAGUAUUAGAUCACGCACUAGGCAAUUUUUGCCUUCUUUGUUCCUUUUCUCUUUAUUUUUUUCGUUUUAUUUUUGUUUCUGAUUAAAAUAAAUUGUUUUGGUUUGAAUUUGUGAGACAUGAAAGGAUGCGAAGACAUAGUUGAUGAUAUUUUGCGGUGGGUAAGUGACUGCAUAACACACUAUGCGAUCGCAUAGUGUGUUAUGCAGUAGAUUCAAGUGACCCGCAGAAGGGCCAGAAAUGUGUUACACUAUGCGAUCGCAUAGUUAAUAUGCGGUCCGUAAAGUGCACCAACACAUCGCAUCUGUACCACCAAAUUUAGCCAAAGACACUAUGUUGGUUUGCGAUCAGAAUGCGGUCCGCAUAUUGAAAAUGCGACCGCAUAUGUGUAGCAAACAACACAAGGUGAUUUUUUUCUUCCCUUUUUCAUGCAAUCUUACCCCAUGUCAUGAUCUUUUGAAUCCCCUGCACUCUAACACACACACACAUGGGUUGCCUCCCAUGAAGCACUUGAUUUAACGUCGCUGCACGACAAAGUUGGUGUUCCUUUGGAUUCACUCAUUGGUCGGGCAUGGACCAUCUUUGAGAGUCAGCUGCUCCACCAAAUGUUUUUCUCCAUUUGUUCCCAAGUAGUGCUUGACUCGCUGGCCAUUCACUUUGAAGGUUUGGAGCCCAUCCUCCGAUUCUAGUUCCAAAGCUCCAAAAGAAGAGACAUUUACCACUUUAAAUGGACCGAGCCAUUUUGAGUUGAGCUUGCCUGGAAACAAUUUGAUCCUAGAGUUAAAGAGCAAAACCAAGUCACCCGACUUGAACUCCCUCUUCAAGAUCUUUUUGUCAUGGACGAACUUCAUCCUUUCUUUAUACACAGUUGCACUCUCAUAUGCAUGGAAACGGAAUUCCUCCAUUUCAUUGAGUUGUGUUAACCACAAAUUCGUUGCUUCAGCCUAAUCCAAGUUCAACCUCUUUAGAGUCAACAUGCCCAAUCCACAGGUAGAUGACAAGCUUUGCCAAAGACUAACCGAUAAGGAUAAGUACCAAUAGGAGUCUUGUAUGCCGUGCGGUACGCCCACAAUGCGUCAUCUAGCUUUCUUGACCAAUCGGUCAUGUUUGCAUUAACAGUCUUUGCUAGAAUGCUCUUGAUCUCCCGGUUGGAAACCUCAACUUGACCACUAGAUUGGGGAUGAUAAGGUGUAGCCACCUUGUGCUUGACACCAUACUUCUCUAGUAGCCCCGUGAAAGCUUUGUUACAGAAAUGAGACCCACCAUCACUAAGAAUGUCCCUAGGAGUGCCAAACCGAGUGAAUAUGUUUUUCUUCAAGAAUGCAGUCACACUUCUUGCCUCGUUAUUUGGUAAGGCAAUUACUUCAACCCAUUUGGACACGUAGUCCACAACUACCAAGAUAUAUUUCAUCCCAUAAAAGCUCACAAAGGGACCCAUAAAAUUAAUUCCCCACACGUCGAAGAUUUCUAUCUCCAUCACAAAGUGCAUUGGCAUUUCAUGCCUCUUAGAGAUUGAUCCUUGUCUUUGACAUUGGUCACAAGCCUUGACCAUUUGAUUGGCAUCAUGAUAGAUUGAUGGCCAAUAGUAACCACAUUCAAGCACCUUAGCCGCCGUUCGAUUUCCUCCAUGAUAACCCCCAACCGGUGAGUCAUGGCAUGCCUUUUCAAUUGGCAUAAUCUCUUCUUCUGGAACGCACCUUCUGAUAAUAUUGUCAGCACAAACACGGAACAAGAAUGGUUCCUCCCAAUAGUAUUGCCGGCAGUCUCUCAAGAACUUCUUCUUGUUAUAGGAUUCCAAUCCGUCCGGAAUAAAGUCACUAACCAAAUAGUUAGCAAUAUCGGCAUACCAAGGAGCAAAAGUUCUAGAUAGUGCCAAUAUGUGUUCAUCCGGGAAUGCAUCAUUGAUUUCAAGAUCUCCCUUUGGUUUCCCUGCCUCUUCAAGCCUUGAAAUGAUCUGCCACUUGAUUUUGAGUUCCCUUGCGAUCCUUGACCUCGAAGUCAAAUUCUUGCAACAACAAGACUCAUCAAAUCAACUGAGGCUUUGCAUCCUUAUUUGCCAUGAGAUAGCGAAGAGCAACAUGAUCUGUGUAUACUAUCACCUUGGAUCCCAACAAAUAAGCCUGGAACUUCUCAAAGGCAUAGAAAAUGGCAAGAAGUUCUUGCUCAGUUACCGUGUAAAUCAUUUGUGCCCCAUUGAGUGUCUUGCUUGCAUAAUAGACCGGGUGGAGAACCUUUUUGUGACGUUGGCCAAGCAUUGCUCCAAUAGCUACACCACUGGCGUCGCACAUGAGCUUGAAAGGAAGAGACCAAUCGGGCGUGACAAUAAUAAGUGUCGUGGUGAGCCUUUGCUUCAAUCCCUCAAAGGCCUUGAGACAGUUAUAGUCAAACACAAAUUUGGCAUCUUUCUCAAGGUGUUUGCAUAUAGGAUUUGCAAUCUUGGAGAAAUCCUUGAUGAAGCGCCUAUAGAACCCGGCAUGCCCUAAGAAACUUCGAACACCUUUAAUGGAAGUAGGUGGAGGAAGAUUAGAAAUAAUCUCGAUCUUUGCCUGGUCAACCUCUAUGCCACAUUUUGAAAUUUUAUGCCCCAACACAAUGCCUUCAUCCACCAUGAAGUGACAUUUCUCCCAGUUGAGCACAAGGUUGGUCUAUUCACAUCUCUUAAGCACUUGUUUAAGAUUGUUAAGACAAUGCUCAAAAGAAUCACCUACCACCGAGAAGUCGUCCAUGAAGACUUCUAGAAAAUCCUCUACCAUGCCGGAGAAAAUGGACAUCAUGCAUCUUUGAAAAGUAGCCGGAGCAUUGCAUAAACCAAAUGGCAUCCGGAUAAAGGCAAAAGUUCCAUAGGGGUAAGUAAAUGUCGUCUUCUCUUGAUCCUCUAAUGCUAUGUUGAUUUGGUUGUAGCCGGAAUAUCCAUCAAGGAAACAAUAGAAUGACCUUCCUGCUAGCCGAUUAAGCAUUUGAUCAAUAAAAGGCAUAGGGAAAUGGUCUCUACAUGUGUCACUGUUGAGCUUCCGAUAAUCCAUACACACCCUCCAAUCGGUCAUCGUUCUUGUUGGGAUGAGCUCAUUUUUCUCAUUUUCAAUUACGGUCAUGCCUCCCUUUUUCGGCACACAUUGCACCGGGCUCACCCAAGAACUAUCGGCAAUAGGGUAGACUACUCCGGCAUCCAACCAUUUGAUGAUUUCUUUGUUUACCACCUCUUGCAUUGACGGGUUCAACCGUCGUUGAUGUUCCACACUUGGUUUCGUUUCACUCUCCAAUUGGAUUUUGUUCUCGCAAAUUCCCACGGGAAUCCCUCAUAUGUCCGCAAUUGUCCAUCCAAUGGCUUGCCUAUGCUCCUUCAGGACUUCCAAAAAUUGUUCUACCUGCACAUCAUUCAACAAAGAGGAAACAAUUAUCGGUAAAGUAUCAUUUGAGCCAAGAAAUUUAUACCUCAAGUGUGGUGAAAGCGGUUUGAGCUCUAGUUGUGGAGGUUCGAUAAUAGAAGGCUUUGCGGGUGGAGUGGCUCUAUUCUCUAAGUCUAGAGAUAGCUUUGUUGGAGUAUAGGUGUAGGAUCCAAGCCCCUCCAAUGCAUUUACCGAUUCCAUAUACCCCUCCAUAUAUUCACCAUCAAAGUUCAUCAAAAUAGCCGACAAUGCCUUGCCGAAGCAUUGUUCUUCCAUUUUCAUUUCAACUGCAUCCUCUACUUCAUCAACAACAUCGAUCAUCGAGAUGCUUUCAUACUCAUGCGGUAGUUUCAUACCCUUGUUUGCUUGGAAUGUAACCUGUUCAUCAUUCACACGGAAUUUGAUCUCAUUUCGUUCCAAAUCCAUUAGUGCUCUUCCAGUGGCAAGGAAUAGUCUCCCCAAGAUGAUAGAGAUCUCUUUGUCAACCGCAGAAUCAAGGAUUAUGAAGUCGGCAGGUAAAUGAAAGUUUUCCACCUUUACAAGUACAUCAUCAACAAUUCCCACCGGUCGUUUGAGGGAACAAUCGACCAUUUUCAAUAUCAUACUUGUGGGCCUUGGCAUGCCUAAUCCUACUUUCUUGUAAAUGGCAAGAGGAAUCAAGUUGAUGCUAGAUCCAUUAUCACAAAGGGAUCUUGCAAAAUCAUGUGUCCCAAUAGUACAAGGAAUGGUGAAAGCUCCCAGGUCUUCUUUCUUUUGAAUGGUGGAUGUUGCAAUGAUGGAACUAACCUGGUGAGUCACAUUCACCACUUCAUUUUUGGUGGUUUUCUUCUUAGUGAUAAAAUCUUUCAAAUACUUAGCAAAACCCGACAUCCCUUGAAAUGCUUUCACAAAUGGAAUAUUCACCGAUGAUUGUUUGAGAACGUCGUAGAACUUUUCGAGUUUGCUAUCAUCAACCUUCCUAGCGAGUCUUUGAGGGAAUGGAGGAGGAGGUCUAGGAAUAGGUGAAAGAGUUUCUGGUGUCUCUUUUACCUUUUUCUUUACCUCUUCCCGGUGCUCUUUUUGCACUUGCACAUCUUCCGGCAUCUUCUCAAUUUCGACAAUACUUGGCUCUUCAACCUCAACCCCUUUCUCGAACUCUUCUACCUCAACCACUUGUUCACCCUCUCCUUGUAGUACCUUCCCACUUUGAGUAGUAAUUGCCAUGACAUGAGAGUUUGGGCCACUCCCACUACCCUUUAGGUUCGCAAUUGUGUCACUAGGGAGUGUUCCCUUUUGCUUUGGAUUUUGUUAUCUAGAGAGGUCUCUCAUUUGCAUCUCCAAUUUUUGAAUGGAUGUGGUAUGAGAGCCAACAAGCUUGGUCAUGUUCCUCAUAGAAGCGUCGGAUUUUUCUUGAUUUUGCAAUACCCGUUCAAGCAUACCUUUCAACUUAGACUCACUUGAGGAACCUUGAUUUAAAUAUGGACCCUUUGGGGGAACAUAAGGGUUUGAACUCCGGUUUGAGAAGUUGUUGUUGUUGUUCCAAUUUCCUUGGGUUGAGCCACCUUGGUCAUUUCGCCAUUGUUGGUGGCAUUGCCCUUGCAGGCUUGGCCUUUAUUGAUUUUGUUGUCCUUGACCUUGGUAUUGUUGCCUUUAAUAGCCUUCUUGAGAGUUGUUGACAUAGUUUGCUUCCUAAAGAUCCUCAUUUGAUAUGGGUUGCACAUCCACAACCACAUUUACAUAUUUGUUUGGCUUUCGGUGAACAUCUUUGUCAACACAUUAACAUGUGUAGCAAGCCCUGCAAUCAAUUGAUCUCUCUCUUGAUUUUCCUUGAUCAUGUUGCUCAAGAAAGGCAAACCACAUGUAAUUCCACCUGCGGUGUCCUCGGAAUGCCAUGUUUGAUUAUGCUUUGCCAUUUUGUCAAGUAUUUGCAUCACUCUUGCGAAUGAUUUGUCCAUGAAAGAUCCGUCAGCUGCAUUCUUGGCUAUAGAUUGGUUCAUAGGAUCCAAGCCCAUGUAGAAUUUUUCCAACAAGAUAGAACCCGAAAAACCGUGGUUGGGAAACCUCACCCAGUAUAAUUUGAAGCGAUCACAUGCCUCAUGUGCAUGUUCUCCAAGUACUUGCUUGAAAAAAAGAUUUUAUCCCGGAGCUCAGACUUCUUACAUUGCGGGAACCAUUUAGCUAAGAAUGCUCGGACAAGUUUGGCCCACGAAUGAAUCGAGUUUGGUGGCAGAUUUUGAAGCCAUUUCCUUGCGUCCCCAGCUAGUGAGUACUUGAAGCAUCUCAACCUUAGGGCAUCAUCAGAGACAUUGUUCUGCUUAUGCAUCGCACACACACCCAAGAAGUUUCUAAGAUGUUGUGUCAGAUCAUCUUCAAUGGAAUUCCUGAAAAACCCCUCCGCUUUAAGCAUAAGGAUUAAACCAUGUUCCACCUUGAAAGUUGAAGCGCCAACGGCCGGAGAUACAAUAUCAUUUAUAUCCUCAAUGUACUCUUCGAUGUCCGCAAAAGGAUUUUGUUCCAUUUCUACCUCUUUAUCUUCACCAUAUUUGGACAUGUUUUACUAUCAACACCAAGAAAAACAAGCAAAGUGUAAUGGAAUAGAAUAAGACGUAAAGUAAAGCGUACACUAAUUAGUAAUUUCAAAAGCGUAUUCCCCGGCAAUUGCGCCAAAAUUUGAUAUGCUCAAAUUACACUUUAAUUAAAUAGUGUAAGGCGGUCGGUGUCAAAUAUAAUUACCCAACAAGGUUGGGGUCGAAUCCCACAGGGAAUAGGUGUGAAAGAUUACUCGAUUAGUGUAUUACUUGACUCAAGUCGUAAUUCUAUCUGGUUAACUGUAACAAGAGUAUGGUAUGAUAGUGAGUUGAAGAAUUGACUAAUUGUGAUGUUGAGAAAGUAAUUAAUUUGAUUAAAGAAACCAAGGUUGUGUCCCCUUUAAUGAAUUGUAAUGUUAUCGGUGUUAAUAUGGUAUAUUUCUAAUGGAAGGUUCUUUUAAUAUGCAAAUGAUUCAUAAAUGACUACCCGAUAUUUUCCAAUAGUUGAGUAGUGUUUUCUUUUUAUGAUUUUUUCAAAUGCAAAAGAGCUGCAAAUAAGAACAAUCAACAUGUGCCAAAUAAAACCCACUUAUUCCUAAGUGAUUCUAUUAAACAAGGUUUAAAGUCUUGAGUCUUUGAUACAUAGUAUUUACAGUCAGCUAUUCAUACUAAAAUACAAAAAUAAGAGAAUAGUAAAUGCCUUAAAGCUUACAAAGUGAAAGAUUCUUGACCCAAAAGCUUCCCAACAGAGAGGUAUAUUAAAGCCAAGGUGAAAUAUUCUUGACCCAAAAGCUUCCCAAAAGAGAGGAAUAUUACAGCCCUAUGUUGUAGUCCCAGCGUCAAAUCAGCCCCCUGUACAUAAUCACAAUAAAUCUAUUUAUAGAGGGUCAAAAUUUGGAACAAAAGUCGUACAAAAAAGCCCUUUCAGGUUAAAUAUGCGACCGCAUAUCUGUCGCAUAACAGACAUGCGGUCUGCAUUCUCUUCAUGCCCAUCGCACUUCAAAAUCCUAGUUUCCAGGUCGUCGUUGCAUUAUUGAUUUGUGGUCCACAUUCUAGAUAUGCGAUCGCAUUUUGCAUCGUAUUUUCCAGCAUCAGCAUUUCUCUUCAUGAGUUUGCAGUCCAUUAUGCGGUUCGCAAACCUGUUAUGCGAUCGCAUUCUAGACUGCACUUCUUGCACUUGACUUUGGCCAACAUUCUGUUUUGGUUUGCGAUUCCUUUGCACAUUAUGAGGCUCGCAUAUAGGAUUUGUGAUCGCAUCUUGGAUCGCAUUUCCAUAUUUGUGCUGCAUUUUGCUUUUCUCUUGUCUUUUUGUGGCUUUUUGCUUUUAUUUCCAUGCUCUUGGGUCCUUACACCUCAUGUACUGCAACACACUAAAAUUACAUAAGUAUAGGAGAUAAUUACAUUCAAAACAAGUUAAAAUCUAAGAAAUUUGCAUUGAAAUGUGCCGAAAUACUUCGGCACAUCAGUGGCCGAUGAUUUGAGUCAUCGGGGCAGAGAGUUUGGGGAGUUUGGAUCAUUUACCAGCAUCAGAGAGGUCUAUGGCGAUAGAUGUUCAGGCCUUAGCCCGCCAACUUGUGAGAUUGGAUUUUCCGGAACCCGGUAGGGUUCUAGCUUGCGUGGUUUCUCGGUCUUCCUUAUUUGAUCGUAUCAGGUAGCGACAGUAUGAUGACCCUCAUUUGCUUGUCCUCAAGGAAAAGGUUUAUCACGGUGAUGCAAGAGAGAUGACUAUUGGUGAUGAUGGGGUAUUGAGGAUGCAGGGUUGGACUUGUGUACCCAAUCUUGACUGGCUUCAAGAGUUGAUUCAAGAGUAGGCGCAUAGCUUGUGGUAUUCCAUUAAUCUGGGUGUCGCGAAGAUGUAUCAGGAUUUGAGACAACACUAUUGGUGGAGGUGGAUGAAGAAAUAUAUAGUUGGAUUCGUAGUUCGGUGUCUCAACUGUCAGCAGGUGAAGUAUGAGCACCAGAGACCGGGUGGGUUGCNNNNNNNNNNNNNNNNNNNNNNNNNNNNNNNNNNNNNNNNNNNNNNNNNNNNNNNNNNNNNNNNNNNNNNNNNNNNNNNNNNNNNNNNNNNNNNNNNNNNNNNNNNNNNNNNNNNNNNNNNNNNNNNNNNNNNNNNNNNNNNNNNNNNNNNNNNNNNNNNNNNNNNNNNNNNNNNNNNNNNNNNNNNNNNNNNNNNNNNNNNNNNNNNNNNNNNNNNNNNNNNNNNNNNNNNNNNNNNNNNNNNNNNNNNNNNNNNNNNNNNNNNNNNNNNNNNNNNNNNNNNNNNNNNNNNNNNNNNNNNNNNNNNNNNNNNNNNNNNNNNNNNNNNNNNNNNNNNNNNNNNNNNNNNNNNNNNNNNNNNNNNNNNNNNNNNNNNNNNNNNNNNNNNNNNNNNNNNNNNNNNNNNNNNNNNNNNNNNNNNNNNNNNNNNNNNNNNNNNNNNNNNNNNNNNNNNNNNNNNNNNNNNNNNNNNNNNNNNNNNNNNNNNNNNNNNNNNNNNNNNNNNNNNNNNNNNNNNNNNNNNNNNNNNNNNNNNNNNNNNNNNNNNNNNNNNNNNNNAUGUUGAGGAAGUUUUAUGCUAUUUGGGUGGUUGUGGAUCGGCUGACCACGUCCGCUCACUUUAUUCCUGUAUGUACUACUUAUUCCUCGUAGCGGCUGGCAGAGAUCUAUAUCUGGGAGAUUGUUCGUCUGCAUGGUAUUAUGGUUUCCAUCAUUUUAGAUAGAGGUACCUAGUUCACAUCACGAUUCUGGAGAGUCGUUCAGCAUGAGUUAGGUACUCGGGUAGAGUUGAGUACAACAUUUCACCCUCAGAUAGACGGGCAGUCCGAGCACACUAUUCAGAUUCUUGAGGAUAUGCUUUGUGCGUGUGUGAUUGAGUUUGGAGGGUCUUGGGAUCAGUUUUUUUCAUUGGCAGAGUUUGCUUACAACAAUAGCUAUCAGUCCAGCAUUCAGAUAGCACCAUAUGAGGCUUUAUAUGGUAGGUGGUGUAGAUCUCCAGUGGGUUGGUUUGAGCCGGGUGAGGCUAGACUAUUGGGCACAGAUUUGGUUUAAAAUGCUUUGGAGAAGGUUAAGGUGAUUUAGGAUAGACUCUAUACAGCCUAGUCCAGACAGAAGAGCUAUGUAGAUCGGAAGGUUCGUGAUGUUUCCUAUAUGGUUUGAGAGCGGGUUCUGCUUCGGGUUUCGCCUAUGAAGGGCGUUAUGAGAUUCGGGAAGAAAGGAAAGUUGAGUCUGAGGUUUAUUGGCCCUUUUGAGAUAUUGAGGCAUGUUGGGGAGGUUUCUUAUGAGCUUGCCUUACCUCCCAACUUGGCAGGAGUUCAUUCAAUUUUUAAUAUUUUGAUGCUCCGGAGGAAUCACGGUGAUCUAUCGCACGUGUUAUAUUUCAGUUCAGUUCAGUUGUACAAGGAUCUAUCUUAUGUUAAGGAGCCAGUGGCAAUAUUGGACAGGCAAGGUAGAAAGCUAAGGUCAAAGAACAUUGCAUCAAUGAAGGUUCAGUGGCAGGGUCAGUCGGCCGAGGAGGCGACCUGGGAGACCGAACAGGAUAUGCGCAGCCGUUACCCUCAUCUUUUCACUACUUCAGGUAUGUCUCUAUACUCGUUUGAGGACGAACGAAUGUUUAAGUGUAGGAGGAUGUGACGACCCGGCCGGUCAUCUUAAGAAUUAACGCCCUAAUCCCUAUUAACUGAUUUCCCCAAGUUUAUUUCUGCUAUUUCUAUUUCUUGGGAUGUUUGGUUUUGAGUUUCGGAGAGUUUUGGGACACUUAGUCCCUAAAAGAGAGCUAAAGUGUUGGAAAGUUGACCGUAGUCGGAACAGUAUGAACAUGGCUUCGGAAUGGAAAUCUGAUGGUUCUGUUAGCUCCGUUGGGUGAUUUCGGGGUUAGGAGCGUGUUCAGAGUGUGUUUUGGAGGUCCAUAGCUAAUUUAGGCUUGAAAUGACAGAAGUUGAGUUUUUGAAGUUUCCGGUUUGAUAGUGAGAUUUUGAUCCGAGGGUCGGAAUGGAAUUCUGAGAGUUGCAGUAGUUCUCUCAUGUCAUUUGGGAUGUGUGUACAAAAUUUCAGGUCAUUCGGACGAGGUUUGGUAAACUUUUUGAUCUAAAGUGUGUUUUUAGAGUCUUUGGAAAUUUUAAGCUUGAAUCCGAAGAAAAAUAGGUGUUUUGAUGCUUUUUUUAGCGUUCCAAAGGUUGGAACAAGUUUGGAUGAUGUUUUGGGAUUGGUUGGCAGGUUUGGUUGAGGUCCCGAGGGCCUCGGGUGUGUUUCGGAUGCUCAACGGGUCAUUUUGAAACUUAGGAAAAUGCAGAAAAUGGUUUCCUUCUUCGCGUUCGCGAGUGGGUUCUCACGUUCGCGAAGAGGAUCUUGGAUUCGGGGAAAGUUUGGCCUUCACGUUCGCGAUAGGGCCUCCGCGUUUGCAAAGCACUGGAUGGUUAUGCUAUGCAUUCGCGAUUGGGCUUCGUGUUCGCGGAAGAGGAACUGGCCCAGUGGAAUUUUGAGCAUCGCAUUCGCGUGGUGCCCGUCGCGUUUGCGAAGGUUCGUCUGUGCAAGGCAUCACGUUCGCGGAGUGAGGGAUGCGUUCGUGAAGAAGGGAAAAUGGUCAAAGUUUUUUUGUGCUUCGCGAACGCGAGGUUUUGACCGCGUUCACGAAGAAGGAAUUUUCUGGGCAGAUAUAAGAUUUCAAAAUCGAGGGUUUAGCCAUUUUUAUCAAAACUUAAGCUUGGAAAUUCGGAUUUUGAGCGAGAUUUUGAGGGAUUUUCAGAGGUACCGAUUGAGUAAUGAUUCUUAACUCACUUUUGCUUGUAACCCAUUAAUCUAAACAUGAAUUCAUCCUUUAAUUUCGAAAUUUGUAUGAAAAUUGAGGAAAAGUUCUUAGGCCAAGAAAUUGAGUUUUUAUUGGGGAUUUGAUGUCAGAUUUGGAUAAUUUUGGUAUGGUUAGACUCGUAAGAGUGUGAGGAUUCUGAAACUAUAAAUUUUACUUGAUUCCGAGACGCUGGCCCAAGGGGUGUUUUUGCCAUUUUACAUAAUUUCACGUAUUAGCUUAGAAUUUAUUUAUAGAAUCAGUUACUUGAAGUGUUAUUUACAUUAUGCAAUUUAAUUGAAUAGAUUUGGGCCAUUUGGAGUCGAGUACUCGUGGCAAAGAUGUGGUGUUGGGUUGAUUUUGAGCCAGUUCGAGGUAAGUGGCUUGUCUAACCUUGUGUUGGGGACCUUCCCCUUAGGAUUGGUAUAUUUGGUAAUUGAAAUGCCUUGUACGUGAGGUGACGAGUGUGUACUUGUGCUAAUUGUUGGAAACCCGGUUUUCUUUAAGUACUUACUAGUAUGUUUCCUUUCCUCUUUCUAUUACUUGCACUAUUAAGCUUGUUGUUAGCUUAGGAAAGCAUGUCUUAGUGACUUAAUUGCUUCAUUUGAUUUAACCUGCCUUACUUGAAUUAUGUGCAGCAUGUUAGGCUAGAAUCACUUAUUUCCUUAAUAUGAAUUUUACUAUUUCUGUUUAUCUUCCUACUGCUACUGUGUAUUUAUUUUGGGACUACGGAUGUGGGAUUCCGGUAGCUCCCCCUUGUCUAUUUACUUUGGGACUACGCGUUAGAUUCCCGGUAGAUCCCCCUGCACAUUUACUUUGGGACUAUGGGAAUGCACCUGGUAGAUUCCUCAGUACUGGGUAUUUACAUUUGGGACUACAGAUCGUGAUUUCGGUAGAUCCCCGCACAUCGAUAGUUGGACUACGGGACGGGAUCCCAGGAGAUUCACUGGACAGUUGUAAUUGGGACUACAAGACGGUAUCCUGGAAGGUUCCCCGGUUGUUAUCUCUGUGUCGAGCUGUAUUUCGUUCCGUGGCUUGUUUUGUCUCUAUUCUAGUUAUUGUUCUGUCAAUUCUAUGUUAUUUCUUACUAUUGCACUUAUUUAUACUAUUUUAUUCCACACUGUUAAGCCUUAUAUUGUAUUUAACCUCACUAGGGCCCUAGCCUUCCUCAUCAAUAUCAAGGAUAGGCUUGGCACUUACUGAGUACCGCUGUGGUGUACUCAUGCCUCUUCUGUGCAUGUUUUUCAUGUGCAAAUCCAGGUACUUCUACUCAGGCCUACCAUCCUUGAGGGAGGCGACUACUUAGAGACUUCGAGGUACAUCUGCCGCGUCCGAAGACCGAGGAGUCCCUUUCUAUUCCUGCCUUUUUUGUAUUUAGCCCUUUUGUACUUUCUAUUCUUAUUAGACAGAUUCCAGAGUUAGAGCUAUGUAGUAUUUCCUUUUCUUAGCUUAUGAUUCGUGGGUUUCCGGGUCUUGGAUUUAAAUAUUGGUUUUGAGAUCUAUAUAAAUAUGGUGUAUGCCG
rnacentral:lncRNA from 1 species